UUGAGAUCAAUGAGGUUAAAUGUCUUUCCUUGUGCAAGGAUAGAACGAGGGGCAGCUCCCAGUUCUCCUAACUUCUAAGGAGGUGAUCUUUCCCCCAAACUCUCCCUUCUCUUUUUGCCUUUUCAAGUCUGCAACACACAGAAUGAGAAAGGAGUCCUGAACUGUCAGAGGAGCUUGGAGAUCUGAAUUAGAACACAACUGAACUACUAAUGAGUAUGAUGAUGAGAAGAUCUACCUUUUGUCUGUUCACUGUAGUACAAUGCGAUUACGAAUAAUACUCCAGCUCCCAUUAUGAUUUCUUUACUGCUUAGCCUGAAGUUACUGGGCAUUUGGUUUGACCUUCCUCCUCAAGCGACACAGAUUCUCAAGCAUUCUCUUCAGAGCCCCGGCCAUCUCUCAUCCUAAUGUCCAGG